CUGAGUUAUACUUAUACUUCGCC
rnacentral:snRNA from 1 species